rnacentral:rRNA from 1 species
GAUGAACGCUGGCGGCAUGCCUAAUACAUGCAAGUCGAACGGAGUGACCCAAUGAAGAUGAAGUGCUUGCACGGAGUCGGAAAUGGAAUAUCACUCAGUGGCGAACGGGUGAGUAACACGUGGGUAACCUGCCCUUUAGCCUGGGAUAACUAUUGGAAACGAUAGCUAAUACCGGAUAGGUAAUAAGAACACAUGUUCUAAUUAUUAAAGAUGCGUUCGCAUCACUAAAGGAUGGACCCGCGGUGCAUUAGCUAGUUGGUAAGGUAAUGGCUUACCAGGGCGAUGAUGCAUAGCCGACCUGAGAGGGUGAACGGCCACAUUGGGACUGAGACACGGCCCAAACUCCUACGGGAGGCAGCAGUAGGGAAUUUUCGUCAAUGGAGGGAACCCUGAACGAGCAAUGCCGCGUGAGCGAAGAAGGAUUUCGGUCUGUAAAGCUCUGUUGUAAAGGAAGAAAGCUAGGUAGAGGAAAUGCUAUUUAGUUGACGGUACUUUACCAGAAAGCCACGGCUAACUACGUGCCAGCAGCCGCGGUAA